rnacentral:lncRNA from 1 species
GCCACGGGGCACAAGAGGAGAACUUUGACCCUACAGUGAUUAAGAAAGAAAAGCUGAACCUACCUAGUGAAAGGCAUAAGACACUCGGCCUUUCUGUCUUUGACGUUAAUGGGCUUACAUGACAGACUUGAAGGGUUGAACUUCAAGAGAUGGAAGUGGAGAUACUGGCUGAUAAGCAAAAGCUAAUGACAGG